rnacentral:rRNA from 1 species
GAUGAACGCUGGCGGCGUGCUUAACACAUGCAAGUCGAACGGAAAGGCCCUUCUUUUGUGGGGUGCUCGAGUGGCGAACGGGUGAGUAACACGUGAGUAACCUGCCCUUCACUUUGGGAUAACUUCAGGAAACUGGGGCUAAUACCGGAUAGGACCUCCUGCUGCAUGCUGUUGGUGGGAGAGUUUCGGCGGUUGGGGAUGGACUCGCGGCUUAUCAGCUUGUUGGUGGGGUAGUGGCUUACCAAGGCUUUGACGGGUAGCCGGCCUGAGAGGGUGGCCGGCCACAUUGGGACUGAGAUACGGCCCAGACUCCUACGGGAGGCAGCAGUGGGGAAUAUUGCACAAUGGGCGGAAGCCUGAUGCAGCAACGCCGCGUGCGGGAUGACGGCCUUCGGGUUGUAAACCGCUUUCGCCUGUGACGAAGCGUGAGUGACGGUAAUGGGUAAAGAAGCACCGGCUAACUACGUG